rnacentral:rRNA from 1 species
UACGUAGGCAGCAAGCGUUGUUCGGAGUUACUGGGCGUAAAGGGUGCGUAGGCGGCUCUAUAAGUAUGGUGUGAAAUCUCCCGGCUUAACUGGGAGGGUGCGCUAUAGACUGUGGGGCUAGAGUGCGGGAGAGGAAAGUGGAAUUCCUGGUGUAGCGGUGAAAUGCGUAGAUAUCAGGAGGAACACCGGUGGUGUAAACGGCUUUCUGGACCGUAACUGACGCUGAUGCACGAAAGCGUGGGUAGCAAACAGG